CUGCUGCCUCCCGUAGGAGUCUGGUCCGUGUCUCAGUACCAGUGUGGGGGACCUUCCUCUCAGAACCCCUACGCAUCGUCGCCUCGGUGGGCCGUUACCCCGCCGACUAGCUAAUGCGCCGCAUGCCCAUCCGUAGCCGGAAUCGCUUCCUUUAAUCCCUCAGGAAUGCCCCCGAAAGAUAUUACGCGGUAUUAGACGGAAUUUCUUCCGCUUAUCCCCCUGCUACGGGCAGGUCGCAUACGUGUUACUCACCCGUGCGCCGGUCGCCG
rnacentral:rRNA from 1 species